rnacentral:tmRNA from 1 species
GGGGGUGUAAAGGUUUCGACGGGGGUCUUGCAGUGGGUGUAGCAGGCCGAGUUGCGGACACUCGUUAAACGCCGCACCCUUUAUAAAUGAAAGAACAACACUAACGUUGCUCUCGCGGCCUAAUUAGGCCGCCGUCCGCCCCCGGAGGACCACGGCCGGGGAGUCGGGCGUCGUUGAGUGGUGCACGUGAGGCAGCCAAGCUUUGCCCUGCCCAUGAAUCAUGAAGCUACCAAACGGUGCAGCCCGCCGCUAGGCGGCACCCGGAGGGAAUGUCAAACUUGCGGCUAAGCCUGUAGAAGCACCCAUGAAUGGGCUUUCGGACAGGGGUUCAAUUCCCCUCACCUCCACCA